rnacentral:misc_RNA from 1 species
UACUGAAUUUUUUGCAUCAGACAUAAUUCAGAGAACUGAUUAAAAGAAAUAGUAGGCAAAAGACAAAUACUCAAAAAUAAAAUUACAAACCAAGAGAUAGGAAUGGGCUAGGCAGAGGCGCAGUACACUAGGGAUGUCGUCGAAAAAAAAGUGCGGUCGGAAAAACUGACCAGGAACAGGCUCACUACCUGGCAUGUGUACAAGAGCCGGAAACCUUCUGUCGACGCGUGGGAUCAUGUAUCUCACUGGAUGGCAGCGAGAAUCCAGGCGAGGACUAGCGAUGAGGUUUUCUUCCUUCCUAA